rnacentral:rRNA from 1 species
UCAGUCGGACGGUGACGACCAGAUUGCUGGUCUGAUCAGUGGCGAACGGGUGAGUAACACGUGAGCAACCUGCCCUUCACUCUGGGAUAAGCCUUGGAAACGAGGUCUAAUACCGGAUAUGAGACGCACCGGCAUCGGUAGCGUCUGGAAAGAUUUAUCGGUGAGGGAUGGGCUCGCGGCCUAUCAGCUUGUUGGUGGGGUGAUGGCCUACCAAGGCGACGACGGGUAGCCGGCCUGAGAGGGCGACCGGCCACACUGGGACUGAGACACGGCCCAGACUCCUACGGGAGGCAGCAGUGGGGAAUAUUGCACAAUGGGCGCAAGCCUGAUGCAGCGACGCCGCGUGAGGGAUGACGGCCUUCGGGUUGUAAACCUCUUUCAGCAGGGAAGAAGCGCAAGUGACGGUACCUGCAGAAGAAGCGCCGGCUAACUACGUGCCAGCAGCCGCGGUAAUACGUAGGGCGCAAGCGUUGUCCGGAAUUAUUGGGCGUAAAGAGCUCGUAGGCGGUUUGUCGCGUCUGCUGUGAAAUCCUCAGGCUCAACCUGGGGCUUGCAGUGGGUACGGGCAGACUAGAGUGCGGUAGGGGUGACUGGAAUUCCUGGUGUAGCGGUGGAAUGCGCAGAUAUCAGGAGGAACACCGAUGGCGAAGGCAGGUCACUGGGCCGCAACUGACGCUGAGGAGCGAAAGCAUGGGGAGCGAACAGGAUUAGAUACCCUGGUAGUCCAUGCCGUAAACGUUGGGCACUAGGUGUGGGGCUCAUUCCACGAGUUCCGUGCCGCAGCAAACGCAUUAAGUGCCCCGCCUGGGGAGUACGGCCGCAAGGCUAAAACUCAAAGAAAUUGACGGGGGCCCGCACAAGCGGCGGAGCAUGCGGAUUAAUUCGAUGCAACGCGAAGAACCUUACCAAGGCUUGACAUGCACCGGUAACACUCAGAGAUGGGUGCCCCGCAAGGUCGGUGUACAGGUGGUGCAUGGUUGUCGUCAGCUCGUGUCGUGAGAUGUUGGGUUAAGUCCCGCAACGAGCGCAACCCUCGUCCCAUGUUGCCAGCGGGUUAUGCCGGGGACUCAUGGGAGACUGCCGGGGUCAACUCGGAGGAAGGUGGGGAUGACGUCAAAUCAUCAUGCCCCUUAUGUCUUGGGCUUCACGCAUGCUACAAUGGCCGGUACAAAGGGCUGCGAUACCGCGAGGUGGAGCGAAUCCCAAAAAGCCGGUCUCAGUUCGGAUUGGGGUCUGCAACUCGACCCCAUGAAGUCGGAGUCGCUAGUAAUCGCAGAUCAGCAACGCUGCGGUGAAUACGUUCCCGGGCCUUGUACACACCGCCCGUCAAGUCAUGAAAGUCGGUAU